rnacentral:lncRNA from 1 species
AAACAAAAAGACAUUAUUUAUUCAAUGGAACGAGUCAGGUGGUGUACUGUAUCUGAGUGAGAGCCAGAUGGCGUACUCUAGUCCAGAGAGAGCCAGGCGCUGCACUCUCGUCCAAAGAAAGCCUGGCAGCGUGGUGUAUUCUGAGGAGAGCCAGGUAGCCAUGUAUAUGCCAAAAAUAGCCAGGUGACGUGACAUGUUCCAAGCAGUGCCAGCCGGCGUGGUGUAUGCCAACGUGAGCCAGGCAGCGUGGUGAGUCCCAAAGUGAGCCAGGCGGAGUGGUAUGGCGCAAAGGGAGCCAGGCUGCAUGGUAUAUUCUAAAAAGAGCGAGGUGCCGUGGUAUAUUGCCAAAGGAGGCAGGCGGCGUGUUAUAUUCCACAGAAGACCCAGGUGGCGUAGUAUGGUCCAUACAAGAGGCAGGUGGUGUCGUAGAGUCCAUAGCAGUGGCAGGUGCCGUAGGAUCUUCUGUAGAAGUGGCAGGCGCCGUAGGAUCCUGCGUAGCAGUGGCAGGUGACGCAGGAUGCUCCGAAGCAGGCGCAGGCAGCAUAGGAUGUACCACAGAAGUGGCAGGCAGCA